rnacentral:sRNA from 1 species
AGGUCAUGGACGCCGAAUCCGCGACCCCGCGGAACCGGGGACCCACCUCCCCUGGGGUGAAUCAGCGCCCGCGCGCUGUAGGGCACUUCCUGGCCCGAACCCGUCAGCUAACCCGGUAGGCGGCACGGAAGCCGAG